ACUCAAAGGAAUAGACGGGGGCCCGCACAAGCGGCGGAGCAUGCGGAUUAAUUCGAUGCAACGCGAAGAACCUUACCAAGGCUUGACAUCACCCGGAAUUCAUCAGAGAUGGUGGAGCCUUCGGGCUGGGUGACAGGUGGUGCAUGGUUGUCGUCAGCUCGUGUCGUGAGAUGUUGGGUUAAGUCCCGCAACGAGCGCAACCCUUGUCUCAUGUUGCCAGCACGUUGUGGUGGGGACUCAUGGGAGACUGCCGGGGUCAACUCGGAGGAAGGUGGGGAUGACGUCAAAUCAUCAUGCCCCUUAUGUCUUGGGCUUCACGCAUGCUACAAUGGCCGGUACAACGGGUUGCGAUACUGUAAGGUGGAGCGAAUCCCUAAAAGCCGGUCUCAGUUCGGAUUGGGGUCUGCAACUCGACCCCAUGAAGUCGGAGUCGCUAGUAAUCGCAGAUCAGCAACGCUGCGGUGAAUACGUUCCCGGGCCUUGUACACACCGCCCGU
rnacentral:rRNA from 1 species